UACGUAGGGUGCGAGCGUUGUCCGGAAUUAUUGGGCGUAAAGGGCUCGUAGGCGGUUUGUCGCGUCGGGUGUGAAAACACCGGGCUUAACUCGGUGCUUGCUUUCGAUACGGGCAGACUAGAGGUAUUCAGGGGAGAACGGAAUUCCUGGUGUAGCGGUGAAAUGCGCAGAUAUCAGGAGGAACACCGGUGGCGAAGGCGGUUCUCUGGGAAUAUCCUGACGCUGAGGAGCGAAAGUGUGGGGAGCGAACAGG
rnacentral:rRNA from 1 species